rnacentral:misc_RNA from 1 species
UCUCCGUAGGUGAACCUGCGGAGGGAUCAUUACUGAGUGAGGGCUUCGGUCCGACCUCCAACCCUUUGUGAACCAAACUUGUUGCUUCGGGGGCGACCCUGCCGUUCGGCGCGGCGCCCCCGGAGGCUCAUCAAACACUGCAUCAUUGCGUCGGAGUUAAAGUAAAUUAAACAAAACUUUCAACAACGGAUCUCUUGGUUCCAGCAUCGAUGAAGAACGCAGC